rnacentral:rRNA from 1 species
AUUGAACGCUGGCGGCAUGCCUAACACAUGCAAGUCGAACGGCAGCACGGCAGUAGCAAUACUGUGGGUGGCGAGUGGCGGACGGGUGAGGAAUACGUCGGAAUCUGCCCAGUCGUGGGGGAUAACUAGCCGAAAGGUUAGCUAAUACCGCAUACGACCGAGAGGUGAAAGCGGGGGACCGCAAGGCCUCGCGCGAUUGGAUGAGCCGACGUCGGAUUAGCUAGUUGGUGGGGUAAAGGCCCACCAAGGCGACGAUCCGUAGCUGGUCUGAGAGGAUGAUCAGCCACACUGGAACUGAGACACGGUCCAGACUCCUACGGGAGGCAGCAGUGGGGAAUAUUGGACAAUGGCGCAAGCCUGAUCCAGCAAUGCCGCGUGUGUGAAGAAGGCC